CGAAGAAUGAAUGGGAGGGGCAGCAGUUUAGAGAGAGCGUUUUGGAGGAUGAAUGCUCCCUGCAGAGGGCAGAGCAAAGGCCUGUGGGGUGAUUCUCGUCCCCAGGGCCACCACCGUUUACCACAAGACACACUUGGGAGUAUCCAGUCCACUAAUGGGAGACUCGACAUCCCUUCUUUGCAGCUCUGCAAAGAGGAUAUCUGCCUUUCUCCUAAGCCUGAGUGACCCCCGCGACCCUGCACUGUCGCCGGCACGCUCUCGGUCUGCAACAGCCAUCAGGGAUCACCUCGCCUGCUGUCACCGGCCCCUCCUCCGGGAGCCGAAGGAGACAUAGUCCAGUGUCUAGAAUCCUGCUGGGUGGCAACAACACUUUGUAAGGCUGGCUGUGGUCUGCCCGCAAUUUCAAAGAGCACUGAUCCUGGAUCGCGCCGUCACCACGCUCCUCCAGCUCUGGGACCCCAUGAGAUGUGUUACUACCGUCCGGCUCUCGCUGGUAAAGACACCCGCAGCCUCUCCAGCCGGUGGCCCUCCCGUCCACAUCUUGGAGUGCCCGUUCCUCCAAACAAGGCCCUGGAUUGGCCUGGCAGGUGGAGCUCCCUCUCUGCCCGGGUACCUGGGGGCUUCGGUCUAGACAGGCGGUUGACCUCCGGGGCCAGGCCUCUGUCCACCUCUUCUCCAGGGGCUGCUGUGAAUGCUCAUGCCCAGGGUGCCCACCCGAGAUACUAGCCUUCAAGUUUCUAAGGGGAUUCUGAAAGCAGACUGACGGCCAGCAGAUUUCUCUACUGAAUGGGUUCAAGUUGCAGUAAAGGGGGUUUAAAUGAGAGUGUCCUGCAGGCAGGGGCGUAACGGGACUGCCACAGGCAAGCAGGUCCAUCCCUCUGCUGCCUGCCAUUAGAGCAGAUCUGAGCUGCCCGGACAAGCAUCCGCACCACUGCCUUGCAGCCAGGCAAGUAAGCCCGGCUGAAGGAGGAAACCAAUCGUCUAAAAUCUUCUAGAAUAGCUACUUUCCAAAUUCAUGAGGCUGGGGAAAUCCUUUUCUCCAGAUGAGUUCUUGAGAGAAGCCCGGCUCCCGCUUCGACCAUGGAGACUUUGGGUGGCGGUGGGACGCGGUCUGCAAACCCUGGCUGACACAGCAGAGGCUAAGCAGAGAGUCACGGCCCCGUAAGGGUGAGGCUCGGAAAGGAGAAGAUCUGUGACACCAGCAAUGAUGCAGAUGACCAAACAGUAACAGAAGCCACAGGCUACCGAGCCCAGACCGAGCUCAAUGCUCUGCGUGUUCUCCUCCUGAGCCUCCAGAUCUUUCUACUAUGUUACUCCAACUGGACACAAGCAGAAACUGAGGCUCCGAGAGGCUCAGUGACAUGCCCAAGGCCAUCCCCCUGGAGAGCCGUGGCCUGCCGCUGGGAGUCUCCCGCUUACAACCGAGGGCAUCAGAGGGCCUGCUGGUGUACAAGGAUCGCAUGACUCCUCUGAACGACGGCCUGCACUGGCCCCACAUUGGGAAGAGCCCAGCGGCUCCCGAGGCCACUUGAGCUGGCUGUCAAAGGCUCUGGGCUGAUUAACUGUGAACUUCAGCAAAGACAAGUGUGCAUUGACGCCGCAGAUCUCUCACAGGCCUGUUGGGGCCUGUUUCCGCCCUGUGAAUGAGGAAGCUGUGCUUUGCAGGCGCCCACAGAACAAGAAUAGGCCCUAAGAUGCCUGAGCGCAGGGCCCAGGGGAAGUACAAAGCAUCGCCAUUGUUGGCGACGGAAGCCGUGCCAGGCACAGGGAGGGCGGCCUGGCGGCCAAGCAUCACUGCAGGAAAGGAAAGACGUUAAUAUUUUUCUGGGCAAACAAUGCAACUUUUCUAACUGGAAAACCCGCAGCCAUGACCUCACACUGGACAAGAACCUCAACCCAGGCCGGACGGCAAGGGAUGGUUUCAGGCAUGCCAGAGGGGGGCAGGGAGGCUGACAAAAGCACAGCCGUGGGGAGCAGCUGUCCCAUGGAAACCUCUGGAGCAGAUAAACCAGACCAGACAUUCCAGACACGCAAGGGAGCGUGCCCUCCCCAGGAAGGCGCAGGACGUUUCCCUGCUGGGAGCUGUGGGUCAAAGCCAUUCGCUACUGCAGCUGCUGAGGAUUAAUGCCACGAACGUCACGAGAGUGAACCGGUAGCAUUUUUGAGAAUUCCUCCCAAGUGGAAACUAAAUGCAAAUAAAGCCAGUGUCGUCCCUUGACUCA